rnacentral:rRNA from 1 species
UAACACAUGCAAGUCGAGGGGCAGCAUGGUCUUAGCUUGCUAAGACUGAUGGCGACCGGCGCACGGGUGAGUAACACGUAUCCAACCUGCCGUCUACUCUUGGACAGCCUUCUGAAAGGAAGAUUAAUACAAGAUGGCAUCAUGAGUCCGCAUGUUCACAUGAUUAAAGGUAUUCCGGUAGACGAUGGGGAUGCGUUCCAUUAGAUAGUAGGCGGGGUAACGGCCCACCUAGUCUUCGAUGGAUAGGGGUUCUGAGAGGAAGGUCCCCCACAUUGGAACUGAGACACGGUCCAAACUCCUACGGGAGGCAGCAGUGAGGAAUAUUGGUCAAUGGGCGAGAGCCUGAACCAGCCAAGUAGCGUGAAGGAUGACUGCCCUAUGGGUUGUAAACUUCUUUUAUAAAGGAAUAAAGUCGGGUAUGGAUACCCGUUUGCAUGUACUUUAUGAAUAAGGAUCGGCUAACUCCGUGCCAGCAGCCGCGGUAAUACGGAGGAUCCGAGCGUUAUCCGGAUUUAUUGGGUUUAAAGGGAGCGUAGAUGGAUGUUUAAGUCAGUUGUGAAAGUUUGCGGCUCAACCGUAAAAUUGCAGUUGAUACUGGAUAUCUUGAGUGCAGUUGAGGCAGGCGGAAUUCGUGGUGUAGCGGUGAAAUGCUUAGAUAUCACGAAGAACUCCGAUUGCGAAGGCAGCCUGCUAAGCUGCAACUGACAUUGAGGCUCGAAAGUGUGGGUAUCAAACAGGAUUAGAUACCCUGGUAGUCCACACGGUAAACGAUGAAUACUCGCUGUUUGCGAUAUACGGCAAGCGGCCAAGCGAAAGCGUUAAGUAUUCCACCUGGGGAGUACGCCGGCAACGGUGAAACUCAAAGGAAUUGACGGGGGCCCGCACAAGCGGAGGAACAUGUGGUUUAAUUCGAUGAUACGCGAGGAACCUUACCCGGGCUUAAAUUGCAGAUGAAUUACGGUGAAAGCCGUAAGCCGCAAGGCAUCUGUGAAGGUGCUGCAUGGUUGUCGUCAGCUCGUGCCGUGAGGUGUCGGCUUAAGUGCCAUAACGAGCGCAACCCUUGUUGUCAGUUACUAACAGGUUCCGCUGAGGACUCUGACAAGACUGCCAUCGUAAGAUGUGAGGAAGGUGGGGAUGACGUCAAAUCAGCACGGCCCUUACGUCCGGGGCUACACACGUGUUACAAUGGGGGGUACAGAGGGCCGCUACCACGCGAGUGGAUGCCAAUCCCAAAAACCUCUCUCAGUUCGGACUGGAGUCUGCAACCCGACUCCACGAAGCUGGAUUCGCUAGUAAUCGCGCAUCAGCCACGGCGCGGUGAAUACGUUCCCGGGCCUUGUACACACCGCCCGUCAAGCCAUGGGAGCCGGGGGUACCUGAAGUGCGUAACCGCGAGGAGCGCCCUAGGGUAAAACUGGUGACUGGGGCUAAGUCAUAAC